AGUCGAGCGGACUUUGAAGAGAGCUUGCUUCUCUGAUGGUUAGCGGCGGACGGGUGAGUAACACGUAGGCAACCUGCCCUCAAGUUUGGGACAACUACCGGAAACGGUAGCUAAUACCGAAUAAUUGUUUUCUUCGCCUGAAGGAAACUGGAAAGACGGAGCAAUCUGUCACUUGGGGAUGGGCCUGCGGCGCAUUAGCUAGUUGGUGAGGUAACGGCUCACCAAGGCGACGAUGCGUAGCCGACCUGAGAGGGUGAUCGGCCACACUGGGACUGAGACACGGCCCAGACUCCUACGGGAGGCAGCAGUAGGGAAUCUUCCGCAAUGGGCGAAAGCCUGACGGAGCAAUGCCGCGUGAGUGAUGAAGGUUUUCGGAUCGUAAAGCUCUGUUGCCAGGGAAGAACGCUUGGGAGAGUAACUGCUCUCAAGGUGACGGUACCUGAGAAGAAAGCCCCGGCUAACUACGUGCCAGCAGCCGCGGUAAUACGUAGGGGGCAAGCGUUGUCCGGAAUUAUUGGGCGUAAAGCGCGCGCAGGCGGUCAUUUAAGUCUGGUGUUUAAUCCCGGGGCUCAACCCCGGAUCGCACUGGAAACUGGGUGACUUGAGUGCAGAAGAGGAGAGUGGAAUUCCACGUGUAGCGGUGAAAUGCGUAGAUAUGUGGAGGAACACCAGUGGCGAAGGCGACUCUCUGGGCUGUAACUGACGCUGAGGCGCGAAAGCGUGGGGAGCAAACAGGAUUAGAUACCCUGGUAGUCCACGCCGUAAACGAUGAGUGCUAGGUGUUAGGGGUUUCGAUACCCUUGGUGCCGAAGUUAACACAUUAAGCACUCCGCCUGGGGGAGUACGGUCCCCAAGACUGAAAACUCAAAGGGAAAUUGAC
rnacentral:rRNA from 1 species